rnacentral:rRNA from 1 species
AUUGAACGCUGGCGGCAUGCUUUACACAUGCAAGUCGAACGGUAACAGGCCUUCGGGUGCUGACGAGUGGCGAACGGGUGAGUAAUGCAUCGGAACGUGCCCAAUCGUGGGGGAUAACGUAGCGAAAGUUACGCUAAUACCGCAUAAGCCCUGAGGGGGAAAGCAGGGGAUCGCAAGACCUUGCGCGAAUGGAGCGGCCGAUGUCAGAUUAGCUAGUUGGUGGGGUAAAGGCCUACCAAGGCGACGAUCUGUAGCGGGUCUGAGAGGAUGAUCCGCCACACUGGGACUGAGACACGGCCCAGACUCCUACGGGAGGCAGCAGUGGGGAAUUUUGGACAAUGGGCGCAAGCCUGAUCCAGCCAUGCCGCGUGCGGGACGAAGGCCUCGGUUGUAAACCGCUUUCAGCCGAAGAAUACGCCGUUUUUAAUACUAGACGUGGAUGACGGUACCGGAAGAAGAAGACACCGGCUAACUACGUAGCCAGCAGCCGCGGUAAUGUAGUCG